rfam:Pantoea gaviniae strain LMG 25382 Contig0118_, whole genome shotgun sequence.
GUCGGUUUGUUAAACAGAACCGGGUAUGCGAGCAGUUUUAGUAAAGCAGUCUGCAGUGUAAGAGUUAUCUCUGAUAUCACUUCUUCAGUAUCGCCUUCCUGAGUGCCUCAUAACAUCUGUACACAAACCUGUUGCCCACGAGGCGUUAAUAUUCACUGAAGGAAAGACAAAUGUCUGCAAAACUGACUGGUUUAGUAAAAUGGUUCAACGCUGAGAAAGGUUUCGGCUUCAUUUCUCCGGCUGAUGGCAGCAAAGACGUGUUCGUACACUUCUCUGCAAUCCAGAACCAGGGUUUCAAAACUCUGGAAGAAGGUCAGAACGUUGAGUUCACCAUCGAAAACGGCCCGAAAGGUCCGGCUGCUGCUAACGUCACCGUACGCUAAGCAACCAGAAUACAAAAAACCCGCCUGAUGGCGGGUUUUUUAUU